rnacentral:rRNA from 1 species
AACGUAGGAGACAACCGUUAUCCGGAGUUACUGGGCGUAAAGGGCGUGUAGGUGGUUUCGUAAGUCUGGCGUGAAAUUUUUCGGCUUAACCGGGAAAGGUCGUCGGAUACUGCAGAACUAGAGGACGGUAGAGGCGUGUGGAAUUCCGGGUGUAGUGGUGAAAUGCGUAGAGAUCCGGAGGAACACCAGUGGCGAAGGCGACACGCUGGGCCGUACCUGACACUGAUGCGCGACAGCAUGGGGAGCAAACAGG